GUGGGGAAUAUUGGACAAUGGGCGCAAGCCUGAUCCAGCCAUGCCGCGUGAGUGAUGAAGGCCUUAGGGUUGUAAAGCUCUUUUACCUGGGAAGAUAAUGACGGUACCAGGAGAAUAAGCCCCGGCUAACUUCGUGCCAGCAGCCGCGGUAAUACGAAGGGGGCUAGCGUUGUUCGGAUUUACUGGGCGUAAAGCGCACGUAGGCGGAUCUUUAAGUCAGAGGUGAAAUCCCAAGGCUCAACCUUGGAACUGCCUUUGAUACUGGGGAUCUUGAGUCCGGGAGAGGUGAGUGGAACUGCGAGUGUAGAGGUGAAAUUCGUAGAUAUUCGCAAGAACACCAGUGGCGAAGGCGGCUCACUGGCCCGGUACUGACGCUGAGGUGCGAAAGCGUGGGGAGCAAACAGG
rnacentral:rRNA from 1 species